rnacentral:rRNA from 1 species
CAGCCGUAAACUAUGCGCGUUAGGUGUAUCGGUGACCACGAGUCACCGAGGUGCCGAAGGGAAACCGUGAAACGUGCCGCCUGGGAAGUACGGUCGCAAGGCUGAAACUUAAAGGAAUUGGCGGGGGGAGCACCACAACGGGUGGAGCCUGCGGUUUAAAUGGACUCAACGCCGGGAAGCUCACCGGAUAAGACAGCGGAAUGAUUGCCGGGCUGAAGACUCUGCAUGACUAGCUGAGAGGAGGUGCAUGGCGUAGACGUCU